ACUUGUUUGUGCUCUAGGAAGUCCCCAAGAGCACAGGAGCCCAGAGACCUCGCAGGAGGAAGCAGCAGUAUCUGUGUUCCAAAUCCUGCCCAGCCCCCAGGCAGCCAUGGUAUCUUCUCAGCUGGCUCGAGGGCACACCUCCCAAAAUGCAGAGAAGGCAGGGUGGCUAGGAAUGGCUCUAGUAGAAUUCUCCCCUUAUCUUGUCUGGAAACAAGGGGCAAAGAGCUAUCUAUUUCCUCCUGCCAGCCUCCUGCCCCCAACAGGAUUCCUCACAUCCCAGGACCAGCUGGAAAAGGUGGUGAGAGUUGGAAAGAGACUGCUCAGUGAGGACUGCCCUGCGAACCAGCUUGGAUUCAUCCCGUUCACCUCCACGUUCUGCACUCGGGGCCGAGGGAAGGGAGGCAGCCCAGGCAGCUAGAGAACUUGAUGAAACACACUCAAUCUGAAUCUCGCUUGAUCGUCAUGCUGACCCAGUGAGGCCACUCCUCGACUUUUCAGCUCCCGCACGAUUCCUGAAGCAGGAAAAGAAACAGUUCUGUGAGUCUACUCAGGGUCAGGCAUCCUUUCCGACUACUCACUCAGCAGCGGAUCCCCACCCGCCUCUGACUCCCAGUGUCUUUCGGCUCCAACGUAAGUUCACCGAACGUCUAAGAGCUGAGGAUUCAAAGGCAUGUAAGACCGCCCCUGCCCUCAGCUGCAAGACCUGUCCGCGAUCCUACGAGCCCCAUUCCGCCCUCUUUCCCCGACCUUGGUCCCCCAUGGGCCCUACAACCAGGUCCCCGACUGACACCUUGACCAGCGAACACAGCAAACAGGCCCGCAGAUGCCGCAGGUCCUUCGGCACCGUCUCCAGGGCCAUCUUCGCCGAUGGGAAGAACAACAGGGAGAUAGACGACCACAGCCUGUGCACCCGCAGGAAGUAAAUAGCUCGUUACCCAGAAUGCCCACCACUUCCGGCGCUUAGACUUCCUCUUCCGGUGUGGGCGGACGCCAGCUCCGCCCCUACCCCCGCCAGAGGAGAUGGUUUCUCCCGCCAGCAGGCGGGGAGGCUGGGCGGCCGGCCGCCACCUGGGCCGGAGCGCGUCGCAGCCACCUGAGCCCGCCGAGGGCGCGGCGGAGGCUGUGUGGGGUAGUCAGCGGGCCCCCGGGGCGGGGGGGCGGCUGCGCUUGCGCGGGAGUGUGUCGGGCUGAGCCGCAGCGCCGAGACGCGGGCUGUUUGAUCUGGGCUGGUGGCCCUGGGCGUCGGUCCUGUUCCCCGAUGGUAACCCGAAGUUUGUUUUUUUUUGUUUUGUCUCCCCGUUUUAGAAGCAUUGGGGGCAGUGAAUCCACUGUCUCCCUCUGGAUUGUCUCUGCAGAGACCGAGAAGAAAUCCAGGGACAGCCCCACCCCUCCUUCCUAACUGCGAGAGCGCUAUAGGGUUUCCACUUGCUUCCCACAGGAAUGCUGGCCUGGGAGCUACGGCGGAAAAAAAUGCGUAUUUAUCUUUUAAAACUCCGUCUGUUUGCUCGUUCCGGCUGAUAAUUUAUACUUUGCGCAGUUCUUAGCGCUUAGACACGGUUCCUUUACUAAAGACCAUUUGUAGGAGAUUAGGUGUCCUUUUUUUCCCUUUCAUUUCACCGUCUAGGAAGCGAAAUGCCUUGUUCUAUAGGCACUAAACCACCACCCCUACCAAACCUUUCUCGGGGAAGCAGAAGGGGAACUUGUGCCUUGUGAGGAAGCGACAAAGGCCCCUUCUGGCCCUGGAGACUUCACGCCAAUGGAGCACCAGCUCUCUGUCCUCGCAAUAGCCCGAGUGCAGGCAGAACGCAGUCAUUUGUGUUUAUCUGAGAGGAGCUUUGGGAUAUAAAUAGUUUCAGGCCCCGCUGCGCUGUCAUUCCAGCCCAGCCUCCUGAUUGAGCUGCUUCCGGGCGGGCUUUCUUCUUGUUGGCGGUCCCAUGCUGUGUUCAGAUGGGCUCUGUGACAGGUUUGGAUGUUUUCUAUCACUGAAUAAAACUUUCCACUUUGGAACAUAUUUUCUACACUCUAUUAUCUCAUGUAAGUCCUGCAACAACUAUUAAGUAGGCCCAUUUUAUGGACUGAAAAAGCGAGGCACAGAGUAUUUGCCCAAGGUCUGAGUCACUGAAGUAUGAUAAUGUGUGAAGUGAACAGUAUAAUAAUAAUGACUGAAGCACAGUAAGAAUCCAGUCAUGCUUUCUCCUUCCCUGAUCUCACUAAGCCACACUUUUAGGGGCUUACAAACCAGUUCUUAUUGCCAAGCCCUCUACUCUACCCUAUCCUUUCAUGAAUCGGAGCCUAGCCUCUGAUAACAUAAAUAAUUUACUUCUCUUGAUGUAGAAAGAGAUGACGUUGUUACCCUGAGUGACAGUCACGACAGAACAAAACCACAAGACCAGACCACAUUUGUGGAUAAAUAUAUUAGCAAAUAAAUAUAUUUCUUAACAUAGUGCCUGAAAAAAAAAAAAAAAAAA
rnacentral:lncRNA from 1 species